rnacentral:rRNA from 1 species
GACCUGCAUGAAAGAUGUAACGACUUAAAUGCUGUCUUAAAAAAAAUCUUAAUGAAAUAAAAUUAUCUGUGAAGAUACAGAUUUCUUAUAUUAGGACAGCAAAGACCCUAUGAAGCUUUACUAUUAAUAAAUAAUGAAAAUAUAUAUAUUUAACAUAGUAUAAAUGGGAAACAAUAAUAUUAUUUUCUGGGAAAUAAUUUAGUUAAAAAUGAAAUACCAUUUUAUUUAUAUAUAAAUCCUUAUAGAAAUUUUAUAACAGAAUUUUUAGACAACUAUUCAUGAGAUAGUUUGACUGGGGCGGUCUCCUCCUAUAUAUAAACGGAGGAGUACAAUGUUAUAUUUAUUAUAUAAAGAUAUAAUAUAUAAUUAACUGUAAAAUUUACAAAUUAAACAGAGAUAAAUGUCGGUCUUAAUGAUCCGAUAAUUAUUUAGUAAUAAAAUUAUCGCUUAACGGAUAAAAGUUACUCUAGGGAUAACAGGCUAAUCUUUUCCGAGAGUCCAUAUUGACGAAAAGGUUUGGCACCUCGAUGUCGGCUUAUCGCAUCCUAAAGCAGUAGUAUGUUUUAAGGGUAAGUCUGUUCGCCUAUUAAAGCGAUAC